rnacentral:snRNA from 1 species
GUGCUCGCUUCAGCAGCACAUAUACUAAAAUUGGAAUGAUACAGGGAAGAUUAGCAUGGCCCCUGCACAAGGAUGACAUGCAAAUUUGUGAAGUGUUCCAUAUUUCA